rnacentral:rRNA from 1 species
GUAGGUGGCAAGCGUUGUCCGGAAUUAUUGGGGCGUAAAGCGCGCGCAGGCGGUUCUUUAAGUCUGAUGUGAAAGCCCACGGGCUCAACCGUGGAGGGUCAUUGGAAACUGGAGAACUUGAGUACAGAAGAGGAGAGCGGAAUUCCACGUGUAGCGGUGAAAUGCGUAGAGAUGUGGAGGAACACCAGUGGCGAAGGCGGCUUUCUGGUCUGUAACUGACGCUGAGGCGCGAAAGCGUGGGGAGCAAACAGGAUUAGAUACCCUGGUAGUCCACGCCGUAAACGAUGAGUGCUAAGUGUUAGGGGGUUUCCGCCCCUUAGUGCUGCAGCUAACGCAUUAAGCACUCCGCCUGGGGAGUACGGCCGCAAGGCUG